UACGUAGGGUGCAAGCGUUGUCCGGAAUUAUUGGGCGUAAAGAGCUUGUAGGCGGUUUGUCGCGUCUGCAGUGAAAUUUCGGGGCUCAACCCCGAACUUGCAGUGGGUACGGGCAGACUAGAGUGUGGUAGGGGAGAUCGGAAUUCCUGGUGUAGCGGUGAAAUGCGCAGAUAUCAGGAGGAACACCGGUGGCGAAGGCGGAUCUCUGGACAGUUCCUGACACUGAGGCACGAAGGCCAGGGGAGCAAACGGG
rnacentral:rRNA from 1 species